rnacentral:rRNA from 1 species
CUACGGGACGCAGCAGUGAGGAAUAUUGCACAAUAGGGGGAACCCUGAUGCAGCAACGCCGCGUGGAGGAUGACGCAUUUCGGUGUGUAAACUCCUUUUAUAUGUCAAGAAAAUGACGGUAGCAUAUGAAUAAGCACCGGCUAACUCCGUGCCAGCAGCCGCGGUAAUACGGAGGGUGCAAGCGUUACUCGGAAUCACUGGGCGUAAAGGAAGCGUAGGCGGGUUGGAAAGUCAGGUGUGAAAUCCUACAGCUUAACUGUAGAACUGCACUUGAAACUUCUAAUCUAGAGUAUGGGAGGGGGAGAUGGAAUUAGUGGUGUAGGGGUAAAAUCCGUAGAUAUCACUAGGAAUACCUAAAGCGAAGGCGAUCUCCUGGAACAUUACUGACGCUAAGGCGUGAAAGCGUGGGGAGCAAACAGGAUUAGAUACCCGUGUAGUC